ACGAACGCUGGCGGUGUGCUUCACACAUGCAAGUCGAACGGGGUAGCAAUACCUAGUGGCGGACGGGUGAGUAACGCGUGGGAAUCUGCCCAAGGGUGGGGGAUAACUAACCGAAAGGUUAGCUAAUACCGCAUAUGCCGUGAGGUAAAAGGAGUAAUCCGCCUUUGGAUGAGCCUGCGUCCGAUUAGCUUGUUGGUGGGGUAAAAGCCUCCAAGGCUACGAUCGGUAGCUGGUCCGAGAGGAUGAUCAGCCACAAUGGGACUGAGACACGGCCCAUACUCCUACGGGAGGCAGCAGUGGGGAAUUUUACGCAAUGGGCGAAAGCCUGACGUAGCGACACCGCGUGAGCGAAGAAGCCCUUUGGGGUGUAAAGCUCUGUCAGCAGGGAUGAAAUAAAUGACGUACCUGCAGAGAAGCAU
rnacentral:rRNA from 1 species